GCUGGGCAUGGUGGUGCACACCUGUAGUCCCAGUUACUUGGGAGACUGAGGCAGGAGGAUCACUUGAGCUCAAGUGAUCAAGACUAGGGUGAGCAACACAGUUGAGACCUCAUCUCAA
rnacentral:sRNA from 1 species